rnacentral:rRNA from 1 species
AUUGAACGCUGGCGGCAGGCCUAACACAUGCAAGUCGAACGAGUGGCGGACGGGUGAGUAAUGUCUGGGAAACUGCCCGAUGGAGGGGGAUAACUGCUGGAAACGGUAGAUAAUACCGCAUACCAUCUGAUGUGCCCAGAUGGGAUUAGCUAGUGGGUGGGGUAACGGAUCACCUAGGCGACGAUCCCUCGCUGGUCUGAGAGGAUGACCAGCCACACCGGAACUGAAACACGGCACAGACCCCUACGGUAGGCAGCGGUGGAGAAUAGUGCACUAGGGGCGGGGGCCUGAUGUAGCCAAGCCGCGUGUAUUAAGGAAGCCUUCGGGUUGUGAAGGACUUUCAGCGAGGAAUCUUUAUUCGAUGAAGAAGCAUCGGCUAACUCCGUGCCAGCAGCCGCGGUAAUAC